UACGGAGGGAGCUAGCGUUGUUCGGAAUCACUGGGCGUAAAGCGCACGUAGGCGGCCAACUAAGUCGGAUGUGAAAUCCCCAGGCUCAACUUGGGAACUGCAUCCGAUACUGGAUGGCUUGAAUCCGGGAGAGGGAUGCAGAAUUCCAGGUGUAGCGGUGAAAUGCGUAGAUAUCUGGAGGAAUACCGGUGGCGAAGGCGGCAUCCUGGACCGGCAUUGACGCUGAUGAGCGAAAGCUAGGGGAGCAAACGGG
rnacentral:rRNA from 1 species